rnacentral:rRNA from 1 species
UACGUAGGGACCGAGCGUUGUCCGGAUUCAUUGGGCGUAAAGAGCUCGUAGGCGGCCACUCAAGUCGAAUGUGAAACCUCGAGGCUUAACCUCGAGCCUGCAUUCGAUACUGGGCGGCUAGAGUCUGGUAGGGGGAUCUGGAAUUCCUGGUGUAGCGGUGGAAUGCGCAGAUAUCUGGAGGAACACCGGUGGCGAAGGCGGCAUCCUGGGCCGGUAUUGACACUGAGGAGCGAAAGCCAGGGGAGCAAACGGG